UCGCACGAGAAAGCAGGAGCAAUCCUGUGAGUACAGUGGCGUACGGGUGAGUAACACGUGGGUGAUCUACCCUUUAGUGGGGAAUAACGCUGGGAAACCGGCGCUAAUACCGCAUAAGCUCGAGAGAGGAAAGCAGCAAUGCGCUGAAGGAGGAGCCCGCGGCCGAUUAGCUAGUUGGUAGGGUAAGAGCCUACCAAGGCAUAGAUCGGUAGCCGGCCUGAGAGGGCACACGGCCACACUGGCACUGAAACACGGGCCAGACUCCUACGGGAGGCAGCAGUGGGGAAUCUUGCACAAUGGGGGAAACCCUGAUGCAGCGACGCCGCGUGAGCGAUGAAGCCCUUCGGGGUGUAAAGCUCUUUCGUCAGGGACGAUAAUGACGGUACCUGGAGAAGCAGCUGCGGCUAACUACGUGCCAGCAGCCGCGGUAAUACGUAGGCAGCGAGCGUUGUUCGGAGUUACUGGGCGUAAAGGGUGUGUAGGCGGUUUUCUAAGUUUGGUGUGAAAUCUCCCGGCUCAACCGGGAGGGUGCGCCGAAAACUGGGAGACUAGAGUGCGGGAUGGGAGAGUAGAAUUCCUGGUGUAGCGGUGAAAUGCGUAGAUAUCAGGAGGAAUACCGGUGGUGUAGACGGCUCUCUGGACCGCCACUGACGCUGAGACACGAAAGCGUGGGUAGCAAACAGGAUUAGAUACCCUGGUAGUCCACGCCCUAAACGAUGCAUAUUUGGUGUAGGUCAUUCAGUUGAUCUGUGCCGGAGCUAACGCGUUAAAUAUGCCGCCUGGGGAGUACAGUCGCA
rnacentral:rRNA from 1 species